AAUAAAAAAACAAUAAAAGUUUCGAAAUCUAAAACAAUAUGAUGAGUAUACAAGAACUUCAGUUAAAAUGUAAAUACUAAAAAAAUAACACUGUACGAACAGAAAUUUGAGUAUGUAAAUAAACGUGUGAGUAAAUAGGUACCCAAAAUAUUACAAAAAUAUUUACCUACCCUUUGGAUGUUUGCCCGAGAGGCACAUCACUAUAAUUCCGGGGACUUUGGUCGGUCGAUAAUAUACUUGAUCCGUACGAAUAAUGGUCCCGGAGCGGUGAGGUUGUCUUUCUUUUGGAAUAAUUUUUUAACCCCCCAUAGAGUACCUAUUAUUAAAACAUAAUUUGAUACACGAUUUUUAAUUGAGGGAACAAAUAAAACAAAUUUGACCUUGGGGGCCUAUUCCAAAGUUGAUCGAAAUCAAUUACAGAAAAUGUAUUGAGCUUUUUGGUUGAUUUGGGAACAGGCCCCCAGUAAUUAAACAUAACGAUUUAUUUAAAGUGGCAAAGUUACAGAUUCAGUUUUAGAUGUACUUUUUAUACCUGUACAUUUGAUCAAAUUAUGUUAGUUUUUUUUAUAACUAUUACGUAAAUUUAUAAUAAUUCAUCUUAUUUAUCAAUCUGCAGCUUCAAAGUUUAUGAAGACCCAUCGCUGCAUCACAUAGUUUCUCUAUUGUUUAUCAUUUACUUUAGAUUUUUGGAUAUUUUUCGGUUCUAUGGCCUCUGGAGAUCGUGACGCAGCUAGUAUUAUUUUUUUUUUUUGUUUUUGUCGGUUUAAUCAAUGGUAAGUUAUAUAAUAAUUGGUACUAAUAGGUAAAAUUAUUGAUAUAGGUAUACAUAAGUUUAUCUUUUGUUAUUAUAUAAAAUAAGUUUUUCUCAUAUAGAUAUAGUAUCGUUUAAUAAAUUUGUGUUUGAUACGGAUAGUAAUU